GGGUUGUGAGGUUAAGCGACUAAGCGUACACGGUGGAUGCCCUGGCAGUCAGAGGCGAUGAAGGACGUGCUAAUCUGCGAUAAGCGUCGGUAAGGUGAUAUGAACCGUUAUAACCGGCGAUUUCCGAAUGGGGAAACCCAGUGUGUUUCGACACACUAUCAUUAACUGAAUCCAUAGGUUAAUGAGGCGAACCGGGGGAACUGAAACAUCUAAGUACCCCGAGGAAAAGAAAUCAACCGAGAUUCCCCCAGUAGCGGCGAGCGAACGGGGAGCAGCCCAGAGCCUGAAUCAGUGUGUGUGUUAGUGGAAGCGUCUGGAAAGGCGCGCGAUACAGGGUGACAGCCCCGUACACAAAAAUGCACAUACUGUGAGCUCGAUGAGUAGGGCGGGACACGUGGUAUCCUGUCUGAAUAUGGGGGGACCAUCCUCCAAGGCUAAAUACUCCUGACUGACCGAUAGUGAACCAGUACCGUGAGGGAAAGGCGAAAAGAACCCCGGCGAGGGGAGUGAAAAAGAACCUGAAACCGUGUACGUACAAGCAGUGGGAGCACGCUUAGGCGUGUGACUGCGUACCUUUUGUAUAAUGGGUCAGCGACUUAUAUUCUGUAGCAAGGUUAACCGAAUAGGGGAGCCGAAGGGAAACCGAGUCUUAACUGGGCGUUAAGUUGCAGGGUAUAGACCCGAAACCCGGUGAUCUAGCCAUGGGCAGGUUGAAGGUUGGGUAACACUAACUGGAGGACCGAACCGACUAAUGUUGAAAAAUUAGCGGAUGACUUGUGGCUGGGGGUGAAAGGCCAAUCAAACCGGGAGAUAGCUGGUUCUCCCCGAAAGCUAUUUAGGUAGCGCCUCGUGAAUUCAUCUCCGGGGGUAGAGCACUGUUUCGGCAAGGGGGUCAUCCCGACUUACCAACCCGAUGCAAACUGCGAAUACCGGAGAAUGUUAUCACGGGAGACACACGGCGGGUGCUAACGUCCGUCGUGAAGAGGGAAACAACCCAGACCGCCAGCUAAGGUCCCAAAGUCAUGGUUAAGUGGGAAACGAUGUGGGAAGGCCCAGACAGCCAGGAUGUUGGCUUAGAAGCAGCCAUCAUUUAAAGAAAGCGUAAUAGCUCACUGGUCGAGUCGGCCUGCGCGGAAGAUGUAACGGGGCUAAACCAUGCACCGAAGCUGCGGCAGCGACGCUGAUGCGUUGUUGGGUAGGGGAGCGUUCUGUAAGCCUGCGAAGGUGUGCUGUGAGGCAUGCUGGAGGUAUCAGAAGUGCGAAUGCUGACAUAAGUAACGAUAAAGCGGGUGAAAAGCCCGCUCGCCGGAAGACCAAGGGUUCCUGUCCAACGUUAAUCGGGGCAGGGUGAGUCGACCCCUAAGGCGAGGCCGAAAGGCGUAGUCGAUGGGAAACAGGUUAAUAUUCCUGUACUUGGUGUUACUGCGAAGGGGGGACGGAGAAGGCUAUGUUGGCCGGGCGACGGUUGUCCCGGUUUAAGCGUGUAGGCUGGUUUUCCAGGCAAAUCCGGAAAAUCAAGGCUGAGGCGUGAUGACGAGGCACUACGGUGCUGAAGCAACAAAUGCCCUGCUUCCAGGAAAAGCCUCUAAGCAUCAGGUAACAUCAAAUCGUACCCCAAACCGACACAGGUGGUCAGGUAGAGAAUACCAAGGCGCUUGAGAGAACUCGGGUGAAGGAACUAGGCAAAAUGGUGCCGUAACUUCGGGAGAAGGCACGCUGAUAUGUAGGUGAAGUCCCUCGCGGAUGGAGCUGAAAUCAGUCGAAGAUACCAGCUGGCUGCAACUGUUUAUUAAAAACACAGCACUGUGCAAACACGAAAGUGGACGUAUACGGUGUGACGCCUGCCCGGUGCCGGAAGGUUAAUUGAUGGGGUCAGCGCAAGCGAAGCUCUUGAUCGAAGCCCCGGUAAACGGCGGCCGUAACUAUAACGGUCCUAAGGUAGCGAAAUUCCUUGUCGGGUAAGUUCCGACCUGCACGAAUGGCGUAAUGAUGGCCAGGCUGUCUCCACCCGAGACUCAGUGAAAUUGAACUCGCUGUGAAGAUGCAGUGUACCCGCGGCAAGACGGAAAGACCCCGUGAACCUUUACUAUAGCUUGACACUGAACAUUGAGCCUUGAUGUGUAGGAUAGGUGGGAGGCUUAGAAGUGUGGACGCCAGUCUGCAUGGAGCCGACCUUGAAAUACCACCCUUUAAUGUUUGAUGUUCUAACGUUGACCCGUAAUCCGGGUUGCGGACAGUGUCUGGUGGGUAGUUUGACUGGGGCGGUCUCCUCCUAAAGAGUAACGGAGGAGCACGAAGGUUGGCUAAUCCUGGUCGGACAUCAGGAGGUUAGUGCAAUGGCAUAAGCCAGCUUGACUGCGAGCGUGACGGCGCGAGCAGGUGCGAAAGCAGGUCAUAGUGAUCCGGUGGUUCUGAAUGGAAGGGCCAUCGCUCAACGGAUAAAAGGUACUCCGGGGAUAACAGGCUGAUACCGCCCAAGAGUUCAUAUCGACGGCGGUGUUUGGCACCUCGAUGUCGGCUCAUCACAUCCUGGGGCUGAAGUAGGUCCCAAGGGUAUGGCUGUUCGCCAUUUAAAGUGGUACGCGAGCUGGGUUUAGAACGUCGUGAGACAGUUCGGUCCCUAUCUGCCGUGGGCGCUGGAGAACUGAGGGGGGCUGCUCCUAGUACGAGAGGACCGGAGUGGACGCAUCACUGGUGUUCGGGUUGUCAUGCCAAUGGCACUGCCCGGUAGCUAAAUGCGGAAGAGAUAAGUGCUGAAAGCAUCUAAGCACGAAACUUGCCCCGAGAUGAGUUCUCCCUGAC
rnacentral:rRNA from 1 species